rnacentral:lncRNA from 1 species
ACACCUCAAAAAUAAACAUUUCACUAUAAUUAAUAUUUGUACAAUUAUAAGAAUAUAUAAAAAAUAUAUGGACACAAAAUUUAAAUCUUCAUUGAAUGUCAUUCCCGACAAAUAUUUCCAAUAACCUGUAUAAAAACUUGUAACAAAAAUGUUAAUAACAAAUAAUCAUCAAAAUAAAAUUUAAAAGAUAUGUAUGCAUAUAUGUAUUUAAAAAUAUAAUUGCUAAAAGGUGGCUCAGAUUUAAUUUCAAAUACGGCAUGGCUACAAAGUAAUUGCUAAUUUAUUAGCCGUCCCAAAUCGUCUUGUCAAGAUACGAAAUAAAACUUUUUGCAUUGUUAUAAAAAUUUUAUCAUCGCCCGAAUCUAAUCAUUUAUUACGUAUUUUAUUUACGUAACAUACAUCUUUUAUUUAUGUAAAGGCCUCAAAAAUCGACGAAGAAUUUCUUCAUCAACCAAGUGUCGGUUCUUAAUAUAAAAUAAUAAUUUUUAUAAAAUAAAGUCCGUCUUUGGUAAUGGAGUGACCUCAAAUAUUUAGACAAAAGAGAUAAUUACAUUGACCAAAUUUAUUUGUUGCGAAUUAAAUGGAGGUCAACUAACAAAAUAGUGUAAAUGAUAAUGGUGAUAAAGUAACAGCAAAAUUAAAGCGAAACAAAAAUUAUAUCUAUUGAUUGUGAUAACUAAUAAACAAGUUGCAAAAAACAAAAAGAUAAGAACCAAAAAUGAAGUUAAUGAAAAAAAAAAAGCAACAAUGAUUUCAAGCAUAGCAUAAAAUGAAGAACGAGCAAAUAGAGUCAAAAAAAAUGAACAAGUCACCGGAAAAUUAAGAAAUGUGCAGAGAAUCAGUUCAAAAAAUAGAAACUUACCUUCGCAACAAAAUUUAAAAUAAAAAAACAUAAACAACAACAACCAUGAUCAUGAAAAAAAAUAGAGCAAAUCUUUGAAAUAAAUAUGAAUAACGAUGAUAUAAAAAAAAAAGAAAAAAUAGAGAAAAAUGAUUUGCUUGGUUGUGCUCCGAUUUGGAGCUGUUCGCCGGAGGCUUGAAGCAAAAGGAGAGGUGACGGGCAGUGAUAGUUUCGGUGGUCGCUGGCGCCGAUUUUGUUGUAAUUCCGGCCAGAUUUGGUCGGAGAAGAGGGAAGAAAAGACUAGGGUCUAUUGGGAAUUGGUUGGUUUGUUGGGCGACGGGAAAAAAGGGGGAAGAGAUCCGUCCGGCCGGUCGGUUGCUCCGACGGCGGCGGUAGGUGAAGGAGAAAGAGCGAGAUGAGAGCGGGAAGAGAAAGUGAUGAGAGAGAGUGGGGACUUGUGUAUUUGUGCGUGUGUUUGUGUGUGUAUUGGAUGUAGUGUGUAUUUAAAAGAAAAGUAAUAAUAAAAGGAUAAACUGAAUAGAGUAGCAAAUCUAAGUUUUAAAUUACAAAAAAUAGCAAUACUUUAAUGAAAUUAUCUUAUGUAGCAAAUCUAACAUUAUUUUAAGUGGG